GUGCUCACUUCUGCAGCACAUAUACUAAAAUUGGAACAAUAUAGAGAAGAUUAGCAUGACCCCUGGGCAAGGAUGACAUGCAAAUUCAUGACGUGUUCCAUAUAAAA
rnacentral:snRNA from 1 species